GACUGUGUAGCUCAGUGGUAGAACAUAUGCUUAACGUGCAUAAGGCCAUGGGUUCAAUCCCCAGCACACACA
rnacentral:tRNA from 1 species